rnacentral:rRNA from 1 species
GUGCCAGCCGCCGCGGUAAUACGGAGGAUCCAAGCGUUAUCCGGAUUCAUUGGGUUUAAAGGGUGCGUAGGCGGAAUGAUAAGUCAGUGGUGAAAUCUCUUCGCUUAACGAAGAAACUGCCAUUGAUACUGUCAAUCUUGAGUACAUUUGAUGUGGGCGGAAUGUGUCAUGUAGCGGUGAAAUGCUUAGAUAUGACACAGAACACCGAUUGCGAAGGCAGCUCACAAAACUGUAACUGACGCUGAGGCACGAAAGCGUGGGUAUCAAACAGGAUUAGAUACCCUGGUAGUCCACGCUGUAAACUAUGAUUACUCGAUGUUUGCGAUACACAGUAAGCGUCUAAGCGAAAGCGAUAAGUAAUCCACCUGGGGAGUACGCUCGCAAGAGUGAA